UCCCACUAUCAUACCUCCACUAAUGCAUCAGAUCCCGUCACAACUCCGUAGUUAAACAUGCUUGAGUAAAAGUAGUACUAGGAUAGAUGAUCCCAAAAAAACUCUUUGUUGCAC
rnacentral:rRNA from 1 species